CGCGCAGGCGGAUUGACAAGUCAGAGGUGAAAUCCUGCAGCUUAACUGCAGAACUGCCUUUGAAACUGUCAAUCUUGAGUACGGAAGAGAGAGACGGAAUUCCAGGUGUAGUGGUGAAAUACGUAGAUAUCUGGAAGAACACCAGUUGCGAAGGCGGUCUCUUGGUCCGUUACUGACGCUCAGGCGCGAAAGCGUGGGUAGCAAACAGGAUUAGAUACCCUGGUAGUCCACGCUGUAAACGAUGAAUACUAGGUGUUGGGUCGAAAGAUUCAGUGCCGCAGCUAACGCAUUAAGUAUUCCACCUGGGGAGUACGAUCGCAAGGUUGAA
rnacentral:rRNA from 1 species